UGUGACGCCCAGCAAAAUGACCAUAAAAUGGGUUUGCUUGAUUUUGAUGGUAGUGUACUAAACCAUUUCUGUGAGUCACUCACUGAUAUCAAUACCAUACGAUGAGUAGUCAUCAGGCAUGGCUAAUGAUUAGACGUUAGACAUGAUAUGUAUCGUCCUCACCUAAAUUUGGAUGUGCACAUGUCUGUUUCAGA